CAGCUGUUCUUCACAAUAACAAAAAGCAGCAGCAAUGAUUAUGAUUGGAAUCAUCAUCUUGACCGUUCUGAACUGCAUCAAAGAAUCCAGAGCAGAAGCUACCAUCAUUCAGGCUCCUUCUUUUGCACUUGUUGAGACAGGACAGACAGUGGUGUUGAGCUGUAAGACGAGUUCCCAUAUCGGACGCCUUUCAGACGGCGACUGCAAGUCAUGCCUGGCAUGGUACUAUCAGAGAGAUGGAAAAACACCUAAAGUUCUCAUCCGCAGUAUCACAACACUUCAGUCUGAUACUCCAUCUCGGUUUGUAGGCAGUGGAAGUGACUAUGGAACUGAAUUCACUCUGACCAUCAGUGGAGUUCAAACUGAAGAUGCAGGGGAUUACUACUGUCAGAGUUACCACUGGAUAAACAGCAAAGGAGUGUUCACUUUUGGUGGCGGAACGAGACUCGAUGUUGGAAAUACCACCCCUCCUAAACUCACAGUCCUGCCUCCCUCCAGUGAAGAGCUGACCAAGGAGCGCAGAGCUACGCUGAUGUGCGUCGCCAACAAGGGCUUCCCUUCAGACUGGACCCUGAACUGGAAAGUAGAUGGAAGAAGCAGAGCUCAGGAGGCCAGCCGUGGGGUCUUGCAGCAGGACGGCCUGUACAGCUGGAGCAGCACCCUGACUCUAACUCAGCAGGAGUGGGAAAGAGGGGUCUCAGUGCUGUGCGAGGCCACCCGCAGCGGUGGGUCUGCUGUCAUAGAGGUCAGGGCAGAGCAAUGUGUUGCAUAGAGUGUUGUCCUUCACUUCUCUGGAUACUGUUGUUUUGUGGUUUUGCUUAAACUUCAGUAUUCAAUCUAAACUGUUUUUCUUUUAGCAGUUGUUCACUUUGCUUUUAGCACAACUGUAUUCAGGCUCUUCAUUAUGUAAUGCUGCUUUUGAUUUACUAGAUAUGAAUAAAG